rnacentral:rRNA from 1 species
AAUCAACGCUGGCGGCGUGCCUAACACAUGCAAGUCGAACGAGAAAGGGGAGCAAUCCCUGAGUAAAGUGGCGACCGGGUGAGUAACACGUGACUAACCUACCUUCGAGUGGGGGAUAACCUAGGGAAACCUGGGCUAAUACCGCAUAAUAUUUUUGGAGUGGAAACUCCGGAGAUCAAAGGAGCAAUUCGCUGGAAGAGGGGGUCGCGGCUGAUUAGCUAGUUGGCGGGGUAACGGCCCAUCAAGGCGAAGAUCGGUAGCCGGCCUGAGAGGGCGCACGGCCACACUGGAACUGAAACACGGUCCAGACUCCUACGGGAGGCAGCAGUGGGGAAUUUUGCGCAAUGGGGGAAACCCUGACGCAGCAACGCCGCGUGGAGGAUGAAGUCCCUUGGGACGUAAACUCCUUUCGACCGGGACGAUAAUGACGGUACCGGUGGAAGAAGCCCCGGCUAACUUCGUGCCAGCAGCCGCGGUAAUACGAGGGGGGCGAGCGUUGUUCGGAAUUAUUGGGCGUAAAGGGCGCGUAGGCGGUGCGGUAAGUCACCUGUGAAACCUCUGGGCUUAACUCAGAGCCUGCAGGCGAAACUGCCGUGCUGGAGGGUGGGAGAGGUGCGUGGAAUUCCUGGUGUAGCGGUGAAAUGCGUAGAUAUCAGGAGGAACACCUGUGGCGAAAGCGGCUCACUGGACCACAACUGACGCUGAUGCACGAAAGCUAGGGGAGCAAACAGGAUUAGAUACCCUGGUAGUCCUAGCCCUAAACGAUGAUUGCUUGGUGUGACGGGUACCCAAUCCCGCCGUGCCGUAGCUAACGCGUUAAGCAAUCCUGCCUGGGGAGUACGGUCGCAAGGCUG